AUUGAACGCUGGCGGCAGGCCUAACACAUGCAAGUCGAGCGGAUGAAGGUAGCUUGCUCCUGGAUUCAGCGGCGGACGGGUGAGUAAUGCCUAGGAAUCUGCCUGGUAGUGGGGGAUAACGUCCGGAAACGGGCGCUAAUACCGCAUACGUCCUGAGGGAGAAAGUGGGGGAUCUUCGGACCUCAUGCUAUCAGAUGAGCCUAGGUCGGAUUAGCUAGUUGGUGGGGUAAAGGCCUACCAAGGCGACGAUCCGUAACUGGUCUGAUAGGAUGAUCAGUCACACUGGAACUGAGACACGGUCCAGACUCCUACGGGAGGCAGCAGUGGGGAAUAUUGGACAAUGGGCGAAAGCCUGAUCCAGCCAUGCCGCGUGUGUGAAGAAGGUCUUCGGAUUGUAAAGCACGUUAAGUUGGGAGGAAGGGCAGUAAGUUAAUACCUUGCUGUUUUGACGUUACCAACAGAAUAAGCACCGGCUAACUUCGUG
rnacentral:rRNA from 1 species